rnacentral:misc_RNA from 1 species
GAUGAAGAACGUAGCAAAAUGCGAUAAGGAAUGUGAAUUGCAGAAUUCAGUGAAUCAUCGAAUCUUUGAACGCACAUUGCGCCCGCCAGUAUUCUGGCGGGCAUGCCUGUUCGAGCGUCAUUUCAACCCUCAAGCCCUCGGGUUUGGUGUUGGGGAUCGGCGAGCCUUUCUGGCAAGCCGGCCCCGAAAUCUAGUGGCGGUCUCGCUGCAGCCUCCAUUGCGUAGUAGUAAAACCCUCGCAACUGGAACGCGGCGCGGCCAAGCCGUUAAACCCCCAACUUCUGAAUGUUGACCUCGGAUCAGGUAGGAAUACCCGCUGAACUUAAGCAUAUCAAUAAGCGGAGGA